AUGGGCAACGCGAGCGGCAGGCUGGAGGACAUCGCGGACGCCGAGAUGGACGAGGGCCGCGGCCACGUGCGGCGCGCUUCGUCUACGGGAUACGUCGGGGGCGUGAGGGGUGGCGGCGGAGGUGGCGCCGCAGGAGGGGGUGGAGGGUCGUCCUCGCCGGGAAGCCCCCCGCGGCCGCACUCGCCGCGCAUGUUCGUGCCCCAGAGCCCUGUAACUCCACUGCAAAGAGCUUCAGAUGUGCCACCUCCGGUGUUCAACCAGAUAUUGAUGCGUGAUCAGGAUGAUUCCGACGGCCCCCCUCCAAAGAGGAUCCCUACUUUGCUUGUGUGGCCUCAUGGAGGCAAGUGUAUUUUCGUGGAAGGAUCAUGGGAUCACUGGACAUCAAAGAAAACCGUCCAGAAAUCUGGGAAAGACCACACCAUCCUGUUAGAGCUACCAUCAGGAGUUUACAGGUACAGAUUCAUCGUCGAUGGAGAAAGAAGAUACCUCCCCGAUCUUCCCUGUGAGACCGACAACGUGGGCAACAUCGUGAACCUUCUUGACGUGAAUGACUUUGUGCCCGAAAGUGUGGAGAGCGUGUCGGAGCUGAUGGCGCCCCCCUCCCCGGACUCGAGCUACGGGUUCCAGAUCCCCGAGGACAAGGAGUUCGCCAAGGAGCCCCCCACCCUCCCGGCGCAACUCUAUCUGGGCGUGCUCAACUCGCGGAGCGCGGAGCAGCGGGAGUGCGCGCGGCCGAGGCAUGUGGUGCUGAACCACCUCUACAUCGAGAAGGGGUGGGGCGCGCAGCCGCUGGUGGCGCUCGGCCACACCCACCGGUUCCGGUCCAAGUACGUCACCACCGUCCUCUACAAGGCCAUCGAGCGAUAG
rnacentral:rRNA from 1 species